ACAUAACAAAAUAUUGGAAAGAGAGUAAUCUAAAGGCACAGAGCCAUGUCGAGAUAAGCAAUGAAUCUCUUUUUGCACCAAUGGUUUUCCCUGAAAUGGUGAAUAUAUUCUAUGAAGUGGAUUUAAAGGAUAUAGAAGAGAUGAACCUAUACAUUAGUAAGUCAACAAAUAAACUAACAAAAUUACCUGAACUACAUAAUAUGGCAAAUUCAAUUACACGAAAAUAAGAUGCUACACAGAAAAAAAAGCUUGACAGACACCGUAAGAAAACGUAAUAGUUACACAACGAGCAUUCCCAUUUUCUUCCAGCGUCGCUCGCCGAUCAAAGGAAAACCUUCCUCUAAUUUUUGGUGGCUAGAGGCAAAUCACCUCGAAAAGAAAUCGUCCAUGUAACCCGGCAUCGCAACGACCAUGAACCAGAAUAAAGCCCAAAGGCCACGCCAUGACUCAGCCAAGUAACCCGAAGAAGAAAUGAAGAGGAACCCGAAGGCGAUCCCGAAGGCGAACCCGAAGGCCCUGUUUACACCCUUGGCUUUGGCUGCCAGAUGACCGCUCUUCAGCACCAUCACUAAAUCUGGAAAUUUCGAGAAGAACCGUCCACUCAUUCACGCCAGGAAUCCAUCGCCAUCUCCACCACCCACACCUCCCCCAACGCCGCCACCAACACCUCCUCCAACACCACCUCCAACGCCACCACCAACGCCUCCGCCCUCCCCUCCCCCCGCGCCUCCAUAAUGUUGGAAGUGACUUGUAAUGACCGACUGGGUAAAAAAGUGCGUGUCAAGUGCAACCCAGAUGACACAAUAGGUGACUUGAAGAAACUAAUUGCUGCACAAACGGGGACGCGCUGGGACAAGAUCGUACUCAAGAAGUGGUACACGAUUUUCAAGGACCACAUCACAAUAGCCGACUACGAGAUUCAUGAUGGCAUGAACCUUGAACUGUAUUAUCAGUAAAACAUGUGACAGAUGCCUUCAUAUAUAUUUUUUCAUUUUAACUUUUUUUUUUUUUCCUUUUUUUGUAUUACAUGUAAAGAUUAUGCAAGUUAUGCAUAAUUUGGUUGUUGAUUCUAUUGCAUCAUUCAUACCCAAUGGUUGAGAUCCAUAUUUCCUGUAUUUGAAUGAUAUGUGUGUCCCAAGUUCUCAUCUCUUUCAUGCCCUUCUAAGUAUGCUCUGAUUUUUAUCACAAAGGGAUUUUUUUUUAUUAUUGUUAUUUGUUUUUUAUUUGAUAUAUUUUUUUGUCCAAGAGAAGACAGGAGGAUUAGUAUGAUCAUCAGUAGUUAUCUCAGGUGGCAAUCUGCAGAGACCUUACUUACCUGCACUGGAAUGUUUGAAUCCUUGAGUCUUACUUUCAUCUGAUUGGAACUGUAUUGUCGAGUUUGUAAUAAAUAUUGGAAAUGUA
rnacentral:lncRNA from 1 species